UUGAUCAUGAUGAAGCAAUAAUAUUAUAAUCCAACACUUGAUCCGAGACAUUAAUUGUUCAGUGAUGCCUAAAAUUGUAUGCUUCUGAAUCUGC
rfam:Populus trichocarpa isolate Nisqually-1 chromosome 15, whole genome shotgun sequence.